rnacentral:rRNA from 1 species
AUUGAACGCUAGCGGGAUGCCUUACACAUGCAAGUCGAACGGCAGCACGGACUUCGGUCUGGUGGCGAGUGGCGAACGGGUGAGUAAUGUAUCGGAACGUGCCUAGUAGCGGGGGAUAACUACGCGAAAGCGUAGCUAAUACCGCAUACGCCCUACGGGGGAAAGCAGGGGAUCGCAAGACCUUGCACUAUUAGAGCGGCCGAUAUCGGAUUAGCUAGUUGGUGGGGUAACGGCUCACCAAGGCGACGAUCCGUAGCUGGUUUGAGAGGACGACCAGCCACACUGGGACUGAGACACGGCCCAGACUCCUACGGGAGGCAGCAGUGGGGAAUUUUGGACAAUGGGGGAAACCCUGAUCCAGCCAUCCCGCGUGUGCGAUGAAGGCCUUCGGGUUGUAAAGCACUUUUGGCAGGAAAGAAACGUCAUGGGCUAAUACCCCGUGAAACUGACGGUACCUG